GUUGAAAUAUCGGUUCACGUACGAGCAGCGAAGUUAAGCAACGUCCAGCCUGGUCAGUACCUAGAACUGUGAUCGCUUGGGAAUAUCAGGUGCUGUAUG